UACGAAGGGGGCUAGCGUUGUUCGGAUUUACUGGGCGUAAAGCGCACGUAGGCGGAUCGUUAAGUCGGGGGUGAAAUGCCAAGGCUCAACCUUGGAACUGCCUUUGAUACUGGCAAUCUCGAGUCCGGGAGAGGUGAGUGGAACUGCGAGUGUAGAGGUGAAAUUCGUAGAUAUUCGCAAGAACACCAGUGGCGAAGGCGGCUCACUGGCCCGGUACUGACGCUGAGGUGCGAAAGCGUGGGGAGCAAACAGG
rnacentral:rRNA from 1 species